CGAAGGGGCUAGCGUUGUUCGGAAUUACUGGGGCGUAAAGGGCGCGUAGGCGGCUUUUCAAGUCAGGCGUGAAAUCCCCGGGCUUAACCUGGGAACUGCGCUUGAGACUGGAAGGCUUGAGUUCGGGAGAGGUGAGUGGAAUUCCCAGUGUAGAGGUGAAAUUCGUAGAUAUUGGGAAGAACACCAGCGGCGAAGGCGGCUCACUGGACCGAUACUGACGCUGAGGCGCGAAAGCGUGGGGAGCAAACAGGAUU
rnacentral:rRNA from 1 species